AAUCCAGAUCUCCAUAUCAACAACUUGAUACCAAUCAGGUUGCCAAGGCGUCCGUGUAUUCUGAAAUCGGAGGACACCAUCAUGUUAACCAAAUUGAUCCUGACAAUGAUGGAUAUAGUGGGUAGGUAAAUAAUCAGCACUUGUGAUUUUCUGUAAUUUAUAAGAAAUUUUACAUUCUGUACAUAGUAAUUGAUGUGGAUGAACUGUCUUGUUGUAUGAACAUAAAGUACGAGUCCUUGGCGGGGCGUUCAGAUCCGAACAUUUAUGACGAACCUCAAAGUACAACGUCCGGUAACAGGGGGACAUAUAUUAAUACCACAAUCGCUUGUAAAGAUUAACAUUGAUACAACAUUAGGGAACUCGUCAAUAAUGAAAUGUUUCAUCAAGCUCUGGUUGGAGAGAGGAGAUCAAAGAAGACUUUGCCAUGUUGUUAUAUAAGUGAAAUGAAACUUUGAAUGUUUACUGACAGUGUAUAAAUAUCAUUUUAAUUUUAUGUGACUAUCAAAUGGAAAUAAAAUCAUACAUAACAUCUAGUGUAUA